rnacentral:rRNA from 2 species
CGAGACCUCAGGUCAGACGGGGCUACCCGCUGAGUUUAAGCAUAUCAAUAAGCGGAGGAAAAGAAACUAACAAGGA